GCAGACACGUGGCUGAACAGGGACCCAGACACGGGGCUGAUCGCAGGACCCUUGGGAUCAGGACCUGAGCUGAUGGCAAACGCUUAACUGACUGAACCACCCCAGCGCCCCUAAUUUGCUUUUUAAAAAGUUGUGGAUUCUUUUUCACGUUUUGCGCGAGGUUUGCCAUUCAGAGCUUGCUUUUUGUCUUCACCAGGCUGGGGGAGGUGGGUCUACUGCGAUGACUUUUUCACCGAGCCCCCGCUCAAAGGCGUGGUACAAGUGCUGCCACCUACUGGAGGAAAAUUAACUUUCAUCACAACUGUGUGUUGGGUCGGAGACAGAGGCAUCGGUGUGAACUCGCCGCUCUACAUACGCACGCAGAGGCUGAGACACAGAACUAGAUACAGCAGCCCCCGCCUGGACUUUGUUCCUCCGAAGCCUGCCCUAAGCGUGGCCUCCAGAGGGACACUUGAUCCUAUCCCAUGGCUGGCAGUGGCGCACGGCCCUUGGAGCAGCUGCAAGGACCGCGUUGACUCCAGAUGGAAAGUGUUUCGAGAAUUCUGAGAUCACUUGUUCUGGGGAAGGCGGCCACCGUGCCGCGAGGGUGCUCCAGCAGCCCUAUGGAGAAGUACCUGUGGGAAGGAGCUGAGACCUUCUGCCAACAGCUGUGUGAGGAAGUCAUUUUGGACGUGGAUCUUCCGGCCCCACUCAAGUCUUCAUAUGACUGAAGUCCCUGUCGACAUCCUGACUGCAACCUGAGGAGCCCCGCCCCCCAAGCCAGAACCCCCCAGCUAAUCCACUUUCAAACUCCUGACUCACAGAAGCUGUAAGAUCAUAAAUGUUGAUUGUCUGAAGCCACCAAGUUUUGGGAUGCUCUGUUAUGCAGCCAGGGCUGGGACUAGGGUGAUGUCAGUGAGGAACCCAGGGCACAAAAUUCAAGGCCCAACCCUGAGAGUGAGCUCCUCCUUAAGUUUUGUGCCCUAGGUUCCUCUCUCACUUCCCACUCGUCCCGACCCCAUGUCUAGCCAUGCCUCUUCCCAUUUGCCAACUUUCUCGAGCUUGCCCUUGGGGACCCUGGGGGUUCUGAAGAAGCUGGUUCCAUUUCUGGUUCCAAGGGUGGAGUGUGUGACUAAGCCCGUCAGCACAUUCCAGUACCCUUAGGUCUCAGUGACUAGAUCAGCUGUGGCCUGUGACCCAGUCCUGUCCAAUCAGAGGAGGUAUCAAGCGUUUUGCGAGGGAUGCCGGGACAGAUAUGAUUCCACUCUUGUUACUGAACAAGGCAAAGGAAAGCACAAGUGUGAUGUUAAACACACAGAGGAGACCCCACAUCAGUUACUCGUACAGGGGCUGCCAAAGACCCAGCUGUUUUGCACUGUGCCGAGCGAGUAUCCAGAUGUCCCGUGAAAGUGUUCUUGUUUCAGCCAGAUGUUGAGUAUCUUGUACAUGGAAGGGUAACAUGAUUUAAUGCUUAAAAGCAAACUUCCUUCCCUCCCCCUCCUCCACCCCUCAGUCUGGUGCCUGCCCACUCAGAGUCCCUUCCAGGUGGCCAUGUCCCACCCGCGUCCUCAGGCAGGUGUCCCAUUUUGUAUCCUGUGAUACACCCCCCUGACCCCCUUGUCCCUUUCUUCUGCAGCUAUUUGGGCUGGGGAUUGGUAUCUAGCCCAGAGAGCUGGUCUAGAGGCUGGACACGCACCCAUGGGUGGCCUAGCAUGAAGGGAUGAGCUGGGGCAAUUGGUCUUUCUUUGUCUCUCGGAACUAAGACGUUCUGAAGAAGGAAGGAGUUAUAGGCAGAGCCUCAAAGCAGAGACAGGGCGGGGGGUGAAUGAAAAGCAAGCGGAAGUUAUGUGGGAGCAGAAGAGAGGAGCAGGUUACAAGGAAAGAGCUACCCCAGGGUCCGGGGCAAGAGCAAGCUGAUUGGUAGUGAGAUGAGGGCGGGACGGAUCCACAGAGAGCACAGACGCCCUGGGCGAGGGAGAGUGCCGCUGAGAAGGAGGCAGAGAGCAAUUAGUCAGGAUAGGCUGGACUCGGCGGUGGAAACGAACAGUUCCAGAUGCCAGCGGCUGACCCAGCAAGAGUUUAAUCUUGACUGCACACUACCGGUCCAUCGCGGGUCCGCAAGGAUGGCACCACGUGCUCUGGGCCCAGGAGAACUCAGACCUACAGAAGCUUCACCUUGGCAGGUGCUUCCGCAGUCGCAGAGGCAGGGGAAGGAAAUCCAGCCAACGGCUCAUCAGCUGUUAAGGCUUCUGCGCAGUGGUGACACAUGACUCUUCUGCUUACAAUUUGUGACCGUGCUUAAUUUUAAAGGUGGAAGAGUCAUGCCAUGCUCCCGUGCGCGUGAAAAGACGAGAAACGGGAGUGUUCGUGGCCAGGCUUCGUGAUGUCCAGAGAAAGGGCAGCUGGAGAGCCCCUUCCAACUCCAGAGGUGUGGGUCUCACGAGGCCCUGCCGUACUGUGGUUCUGGUUUCUACUCACACAAGAGCCUCACCACCCUUAUUGCCCCAUGCCUGCCUUGCAAUGCCCACCACCCUCCACACACACACUUGCUUAUUUCUUGUAACUGAAGACCUCACUCCAGGGACUUCGAAUUUCCUUUGAAUGCUCCUUUCUCAACUGCAGACUCUGUCUCUCCAAAGCCUAAAGCCGGCACGAGCCACCUUUGUGUCUCUGUGUUAUAACAAGGUGGGGAUCUCCAGGCCUGCUGCCUCGGGAACGUCAGAGAAGACUGCUGGAAACUUUAUUUGCACACACCAAGACUUUGCAGGUUCCCCUGGCAGGUGAAGAAGCUAUGGCCUAGAGAGGAGUUAUCACACUCUGGUUUCACAUCCAGCCACAGAGCAUGUCUGCGAGGAUUGGUAACCGCUCCCAGGAGAUCACCGGCUUAAGCCGGGUCUUGUUAGACUGUUGACAUCUCGGUGCUGAUGAGUGGAGCCCCAAUGAGCCACUUGCUCGCUCCCCGCCUGGCCCCACCAGCUGAUCCAGCUUCGGUGUUCCCGGGGGCUGGAGGGCUCCACGAGACAGCUUUCCUUGCCUGCAGGGGAGGCUAGGCAUGCAGGAGAGCUUUUUUCCGGCAAGUGGAUGUUUUACUUGCCCCCACUGGUGCUCUGGUUUGGAAGAGACUUAUGCCCGAUGCUAGGGAUGGGAGGUUCCUCCCAUCCUCCUCACUCUUCCCAUUUCAUAGAUGAAGAGACUGAGGCUUGCAGUGGGUAUGAAGGCAGGGGAGGGAAGGGUGCUCCUAGCGGAUCCCGGGAAAAGAACGCAUCUCUUGGCUCCCAGACCAGCAAGUCAAAGCUGCAGAACUCUGAUGUGUCUAGCCCAGAGCUUCUUGAACCUGAUGAAUGUAUGCCGUCGUCUGGACAGACAACACGUUGUCCCUGAGCCCCAGGACACAGGUGUGCUCCUGUGCUUUACACUUUUAAAUUCUGACAAAAUUAUCAGCCAAAACAAAUCAAUAAGUUAAUAAAACGACA